AACGAACGCUGGCGGCAGGCUUAACACAUGCAAGUCGAACGCAUCCUUCGGGAUGAGUGGCAGACGGGUGAGUAACGCGUGGGAACGUGCCCUUCAGUUCGGAAUAACCCAGGGAAACUUGGGCUAAUACCGGAUACGUGCGAGAGCAGAAAGAUUGAUCGCUGAAGGAGCGGCCCGCGUCUGAUUAGCUAGUUGGUGAGGUAACGGCUCACCAAGGCGACGAUCAGUAGCUGGUCUGAGAGGAUGAUCAGCCACACUGGGACUGUGACACGGCCCAGACUCCUACGGGAGGCAGCAGUGGGGAAUAUUGGACAAUGGGCGCAAGCCUGAUCCAGCCAUGCCGCGUGAGUGAUGAAGGCCCUAGGGUUGUAAAGCUCUUUUGUGCGGGAAGAUAAUGACGGUACCGCAAGAAUAA
rnacentral:rRNA from 1 species